UACGGAGGGGGCUAGCGUUAUUCGGAAUUAUUGGGCGUAAAGAGCUCGUAGGCGGUUUGUCGCGUCUGCUGUGAAAGACCGGGGCUCAACUCCGGUUCUGCAGUGGGUACGGGCAGACUAGAGUGCAGUAGGGGAGACUGGAAUUCCUGGUGUAGCGGUGAAAUGCGCAGAUAUCAGGAGGAACACCGAUGGCGAAGGCAGGUCUCUGGGCUGUAACUGACGCUGAGGAGCGAAAGCAUGGGGAGCGAACAGG
rnacentral:rRNA from 1 species